rnacentral:rRNA from 1 species
GAUGAACGCUGGCGGCGUGCUUAAUACAUGCAAGUCGAGCGAACAGAUGCGGAGCUUGCUCCUCUGACGUUAGCGGCGGACGGGUGAGUAACACGUGGACAACCCACCUAUAAGACUGAGAUAACUUCGGGAAACCGGAGCUAAUACCGGAUAACAUAUUGAACCGCAUGGUUCAAUAGUGAAAUACGGUUUUGCUGACACCUAUAGAUGUAUCCUCGCGGCAUUAGCUAGUUGGUAGGGUACCGGCUUACCGGGGCGACCAUGCGUAGCCGACCUGAGAGGGGGAACGCCCCCACUGGAAGUGAGAGACGGCACAGGGUCCGAGAGGAGGCAGCGAUAGGGAAGGGACCGCGAAGGGCGGAAGCCUGCAGGAGCAGCGCCGGCUUGGUGAUGAAGGGCUGCGGGUCGUAAAACUCUGUUAGUAUGGAAAAACAAAUGUGUAAGUAACGAUGCACUUCGUGACGGUACCUAGACAGAAAGCCACGGCUAACUACGUG